UUGAAUAAUGUGCUUGAUACUUUCAUGUAUAUGUCUUGAUUCUGUCUCUGUUGCCAUGCUGGUUGUUUCUUUGACAGAGUUGGCUGCUGCCUGCACAGAUGAUGAAAGUUGAACACCUUGGAAAAUGUAUAGGAAUUCACUGCAGGCUACCCAAGUUGCUAUAAAGGUUGUGAUAUAGAAACUUCCUGCUUAACUCCAAACACUGUAGUUCAUUCAUGUGACAGCAACUAUUAUCUGCAAUGGGCUGGUUGUUCUUUGACAGAGUUAGCUGCUGCCUGCACCGAUGAUGAAAGUCUAACAACUUGGAACAUGUCUAAAAAUCCACUGCAUGCUAUCCACGUGACUGUAGCUUAAAGGUUGUUCUAUCUAGAAACUCGAUGCUUCAUUCCAACCACUGUAGUUCACUGUGAGGCAAAUAUUAUCUUCAAUGGGCUAUCCAUGUGACUGUACAGGCUGUGCUAUCUAGAAACUCAAUGCUUCACUUUAACCACUAUAGGUCAUCCAUGUGAUUGCAACUAUUAUCUUCAAUGGGUUAUCCAUGUGACGGCACAGUUACUGCUACAGUUGCUGCAGGUCAUCCGCACAGGCACAGCUUGUCCAAGUAUUAAGUCACAAGGAACUGGAGUGUAUAAUGUAAGCCUUUCUUUCAUUCUAAAGGGCCAGUCACACUGCAGCAAUAAAGAUAACAACGCAUAGAAAUUUAUUCAACCAAUCGUUGGCGUGCAUUGUAAUGCUUUCAUAUUCGUUAUCGAGGCCUUUAAGCCACCCCUUUACCGUUUCUUUUUAGGACUAACUGUUCUAACAUCAGGCUGGCCACUUUUUUUAACUCUCUUUCAAUUUUUAGUUUUUUACCCAAGUCUUUUCUUCCAUGUUAUCUUAAUUAAACUCUUGCAAGUUUUUGAUCAACCCAAAAGCACACUCUCUCCAGUCCCUUAAAACUUUUCAUCUUACUGAUUUUCAAACAGCCAAAUGUUUGUGAGCUGCUUUUGUGCUUAAAUUCUCUUAAACUGUCCUAACCAAUUGUAUACAGACAAUUUUAUCCAAGGCUUGACUUUGUUUGGAUUGGUCAUCCAGUUGGUUGUGAUGUGGAAAGCUCCAAACUCAUGUUAUGUUUACCGAAAAUCAUUUGUCAAUUAUUUGGUAUUUGCAGGAAGUAUCAACCGGGCUUUACAUGUGUUGAUAUUUGAUGCUUUACAUGUAGUGGGUUGUUUUGGUAGCUCACUAUCUUGUACCUAAGUACACCCUUGCAAGCA